AAGCUCGUAGUUGAAUUUCGGGGUUCUACCGUUGGUCGGGCUAACCAGUCUGUACUAGCGUGUAGAAUUCUUACCUUCUGGGGAACCAUCAUGUUAUUAAUUUAGCGUGGUGGGAAACCAGGACCUUUACCUUGAAAAAAUUAGAGUGUUCAAAGCAAGGCUUACGUCUGAAUACAUUAGCAUGGAAUAAUAAAAUAGGACGGUGGUCCUGUUUUGUUGGUUUCUGAAUCACCGUAAUGAUUAAUAGGGAUAGUUGGG
rnacentral:rRNA from 1 species